UACGUAGGGGGCAAGCGUUGUCCGGAAUCAUUGGGCGUAAAGCGCGUGUAGGCGGCUCGGUAAGUCCGCUCUGAAAAGCCCGGGGCUCAACCCCGGGAGGCGGGUGGAUACUGCUGAGCUCGAGUCCGGAAGAGGAGUGUGGAAUUCCUGGUGUAGCGGUGAAAUGCGCAGAUAUCAGGAGGAACACCAAUGGCGAAGGUAGCACUCUGGGACGGUACUGACGCUGAGACGCGAAAGCGUGGGGAGCAAACAGG
rnacentral:rRNA from 1 species